GGUAUGGCUGUUCGCCAUUUAAAGUGGUACGCGAGCUGGGUUUAGAACGUCGUGAGACAGUUCGGUCCCUAUCUGCCGUGGGCGCUGGAGAACUGAGGGGGGCUGCUCCUAGUACGAGAGGACCGGAGUGGACGCAUCACUGGUGUUCGGGUUGUCAUGCCAAUGGCACUGCCCGGUAGCUAAAUGCGGAAGAGAUAAGUGCUGAAAGCAUCUAAGCACGAAACUUGCCCCGAGAUGAGUUCUCCCUGACUCCUUGAGAGUCCUGAAGGAACGUUGAAGACGACGACGUUGAUAGGCCGGGUGUGUAAGCGCAGCGAUGCGUUGAGCUAACCGGUACUAAUGAACCGUGAGGCUUAACCUUACAACGCCGAAGA
rnacentral:rRNA from 1 species